rnacentral:tRNA from 1 species
AAGAGAGGUCUGGGACAAAAAGAACUGCUAAUUCUUUCUACCCGCGGUUCGACUCCGCGGCUCACUUAA